UACGUAGGGUGCGAGCGUUAAUCGGAAUUACUGGGCGUAAAGGGUGCGCAGGCGGCCGAGCAAGUCGAGUGUGAAAGCCCCGAGCUUAACUUGGGAACUGCGCUCGAAACUACUUGGCUAGAGUGUGGCAGAGGGAGGUGGAAUUCCACGUGUAGCGGUGAAAUGCGUAGAGAUGUGGAGGAACACCGAUGGCGAAGGCGACCGUGUGGGCCGCAACUGACGCUGAGGCACGAAAGCGUGGGGAGCAAACGGG
rnacentral:rRNA from 1 species